rnacentral:rRNA from 1 species
AAUAUUGGACAAUGGGGGCAACCCUGAUCCAGCCAUGCCGCGUGUGUGAAGAAGGUCUNCGGUUUNUNAAGCACUUUAAGUGGGGNAGAAGGGCGUUAGGUUAAUACCCUGAAGUGUUGACGUUACCAACAGAAUAAGCACCGGCUAACUUUGUCCAGCAGCCGCGGUAAUACAGAGGGUGCAAGCGUUAAUCGGAAUUACUGGGCGUAAAGCGCGCGUAGGUGGUUCCGUAAGAUGGGUGUGAAAUCCCCGGGCUUAACCUGGGAACUGCUUUCCUAACUGCUGAGCUAGAGUACGGUAGAGGGUAGUGGAAUUUCCUGUGUAGCGGUGAAAUGCGUAGAGAUAGGAAGGAACACCAGUGGCGAAGGCGACUACCUGGACUGAUACUGACACUGAGGUGCGAAAGCGUGGGGAGCAGAC